rnacentral:lncRNA from 1 species
ACAGUGGAGAAGAAGAAGGUGCAGGAGGAGGGAGGAGAAGCUGCCGUGGUUGAGGAGUCGAGAAAACAUGGCCCUGAGGGCUGGCUGAUUGGAGUUAAGAGCAGCCCAGAUAAAACAUAUGCUUUAGAUCCAUUUGGACUUAAUUUGUAUGACAGAAGCCUCUGUUUCUGCGAUUCCAAUUUGGCUGGAACACAGCAAAAGAAUAGACUCAGUGACCUGAUGAAGUUCAUCUGGGAAGCAGGGGGGUCUGGAUGGGCAGAGACUGAUUUUCUGAGGGUAAAGAAAAGAUGGAGGCACCUCCAGGCCCUGCAGUUCCUCUGACAUUGGGUAGGGGGAGCUAGCUGGCCUCGCUUGCCCCUUCUCCUUCAGGAGGACCCUGAAAGGAAUGACCACUCCCAGCUUCCCCCCUUCUCAGAAACCUCACCCAAGGUCCUCCUGUCUACCAUCUUCCCAAAUCCUCCAUAUAAACUUGGCUGGAUAAAAAAAUACCCCCCCCCCCAGCCUGGGUUGAAAGGAAAAAAAGUAAGCUCAAUAAAUGUGUUUUGCAUCAAGGU